UUUAAAAAAUUUAUUUGUUUGCAAUUGUUUAUUUGAUGGAAAGCCAAUUGUUUCAUAACUAGAAUUCUUUCACACUGACUGUUUCUAAAGCAAAUGGCAAAGGAUUUGAUGGUUGAUACCUGAGAUCCCGAGUUCGAAUUCUAGUUGUUUUACAUUUCCGGUUAAAUUUAUUUUCAAAUAAAAUAAACGAAGCUGGUAACGUGCUACCUAUAUCUCAAAAAAAAAAAAAAUUCUUUCACUUUUUUUUACUGAUCUUUUAAUUUUUAUAUUUUUUC
rnacentral:lncRNA from 1 species